UACUGCAGACUGUAGAGUGUGUCAUUUUUGUUUUACUAUUGCCAUUGGCAUUUGCAAAUUUAACUUGAUUCCAAGGUGACGGAGCGUAUUGCGUGUAAGGAUUCAGAGUAUAGACCAUGGUUGAAUCUUUUUCGUUAUCAUAACACACAUAGUACAAUAUUAAAAUAUCGAAACUUCCAAGGAAUGCAAAGCUCCACUAGCGUUUUUAUCAUGCGUCCCUUCAGAAAUGUUAAGAAUAAAAAUUGGCGACUUUAUGUUCCAGAUUGUUGAGCCCAUGAACCCAUAGAUGAGUGGUACCAGUUUCUGCAGAGAUUCAAAUCUAAAUAUGUACACGCAUAAAAGAAGUUGUUGUGAAAACAUAAGACAUGUCGUGGUAACAAAUGAAUAUGUCAACAUAGGGAUAACUAAUCAUAUGUUAUGAUAACAAACUAUAGUGGAUAUAUAAUAUUUAUCGAUAAAGAAGUCAGAAUUUAGGGCCAGUUUUUCAAUCAAUGAUUUCGCUAAAACAGUGAUUUCAAAAUUGCCAACUUAAGAAAAUAAAUCACUAAUACUCUGAACUCGUAUAUUAAAAUUAUAAGAGUGUAUAUUCAAGUAGGUAUGUUUACGAAAAUAACAUCAAAAUAAGAAAAGGUUAAGAAACUUAAAAAUUAAUAAAUAAUUAUUGAAAAUUUUCUUUUUACACAAAAUUGAGACACGAAAAUAUGGCGGUGUAAAUUGCAUUAUUCCGUAAAGGAUAAACUUGGUUUCCCAACAAAUAUAUUGUUUAAUUGAAACAACUCAGCCUCUGCACAAUGCAAAAUGUAAAAUGCUGUCACAAGAUACAUGUCUGGACACCACAGAACUUUUCCCCUUGAACCCACCCAUAGGCACUGGCAUAGUACAAAGGAUUUGCUGCACUUUUACACCUUGCUCAGGUUGAUUUCAAUUGAAAUGGAAUUUUUUGUAUGAAUAUUUUUAGUAGUCUUGUUAUAAUCAUAUAUUUCUCUUAAGGAUAGGAACCUAAAGGGAGUAGGAAUUAUAUAUGUCCCUUAAGGAUAAGAGCCUUCAUCUAGGAAGAGCAAGAGAAGCAGAAUAGUUUGGUAGACUCGAGGCAGAAAUCGUGGACUUGACGAGAGAACGAAUUGACUACCAUAACUACUUCUGCAAGCCCUACACAAACAAACCAGUACUUAAGAAGAUAGGCCCAAAAUUAAAAGCACGAGAAAAAAUUCUACAGUUUAACAAUAAAUAUUAGUUAUUAUUGCAGUAUAUUGUUAUAUCCAGUCAUUCAUUACUGUACAGUGCUUUAAUACAUUAUUUGAUGAUUUAUUAUUUA